rnacentral:rRNA from 1 species
GACGUAGGAGGCGAGCGUUAUCCGGAUUCACUGGGCGUAAAGCGCAUGUAGGCGGAUGUCUAAGUCGUGGUGUUAAAGCCCCUGGCUCAACUGGGGGAGGUCAUGCGAGACUGGAUGACUUGAGGGCAACAGAGGUCACGUGGAACUCCCGGUGUAGCGGUGGAAUGCGUAGAGAUCGGGAAGAACACCCGUGGCGAAGGCGGCGUGCUGGGUUGCAACUGACGCUGAGAUGCGAAAGUGUGGGGAGCAAACGGG